AAAGAGACAGAACAAUGUUAUAGGUGAGUGCAUGGACAAUGACCUCAAACAGCUAAGAUUCAAACCCCUGCGUUGAAUGAUUGAAUUGAAAUGAUUCAAUGAGCUAAUGUACAUAAAGCAUCCAGAAUGUUGCCUGGCACAAGGACUGUAUUGUCUGCUAGACCAUUUAUUCAAAGUGGGAGGAUGAUGUUCUAAAAGCCAAUGAUAAAGCUCAUGGCAAUGCAGGGUAUAUCUGAUGGCAUGGAAUGCUUUAGGAUGGCCAAGAUUGCCCAUCAAAUGCCAAGUCACCGAAGUUAUUAAUGGCUCUCCUACUAGGAGCCUGACAUCAUGGUGAGCAUCGAGAAAGGAAUAACCUAAGCUGAAGACACGCCUUUUCAGGAGGCCAAGUUCCACGUUCUGUGCAUGCUUUUGGCGAAAGUCAGGUGCCGAGACAUGAACUUUGGUCUUCUCUGCAAUCCAUCUGGAGCAUUCACUGACAACAUCGACUUUGAAGUUGCACUGACCUGGCCAGCCCUGCCACUUACCAGGUUGGCUCUGUAUGGCUAAGCGUUUUCUCCUAAAAUCCCUUGAAAACUGUGAGAAGACCAUAAGAAGAUCAUAUCUUUAAUUCUAUUUCACAAGUCACACAAUAUUCCAAUCAAAUACAGAUGGUUGAGAAAAGUCAUCCAUCUUCCCUCCCCACCCUCCCACAGCCCCUCAACCACUGCCCUGAAACUUAUAUGCUGUUAUCCGCAGCUCCAUCUGGAGCAUCACAGCUACUGUCAACCCUGACGCUCUUUCUGAAAAAACACCGGAUGGACAUCAGAACUAUUUCUUUAAGGAUGUUACUGAGCCACACAGGAAAACUUGCCUUAUGAUUUUGAAUGCACGGAUCUGAUUUGACUAAACAUGAUAACUAGAGAAUCACCCAAUCUACUCCCAUUUUCAACUCUAAAUCAUCAGAGUGUCUCAAAUCCAAAGCACACACAGACCAGCCUGGCCAACACGGUGAAACUCCACCCCUACUAAAAGUAUAAAAAUUAUCCAGGUGUGGUGGCGGGCGCCUGUAAUCCAAGCUACUUGGGAGUCUGGAGGCAGGAGAAUCCCUUGAACCUGGGAGAUGGAGGUUGCAGUGAGCAGAGAUCACACCACCGCACUCUAGCCUGGGCCACAAAUCAACAACAACAACAACAACAAAAAACAAAGCGCACACAGAGACUGAGGUCCUCUUUGGCAUUGAGAAGAUGGCUAUGCAAGUCCCAACUAGCAAGUGCAAACUUCCCAGCUUCACUUCUGCCAGUGUCCCUUCACCCCUUCUCAACCCCACUGGGAGGCAGGAGGGUGCUUGACAAUAACAGCCUUGGCAUCACUCUGCCAGGGUGUAAUAGGAACUGUUACAAUUCUGAGAUUCUGUAAGUGCUUUGAGAUUUUGGAGUCAGACUGCUUGAACUUGAAUCCUGGCCCUCUCAUCAGAGACUUGACUUAUUUUAGGCAAGUUAUAUAACCAAUUUUACCUCAGUUCCUUACCCAUAAAAUGGGUCUAAUGAGAGUACCUACCACACAGAAUUUUGAUGAAAACUGAAUGAGAUGAAGGCCUUUAAGGCAGUGGUCCCCAACCCUGGGGACACAGACAGGUACCAUUUUGUGGCCUGUUAGGAACUGGGCCACACAGCAGGAGGUGAGCAGUGGGUGAGUGAGAUCAGCGUUAUUUACAGCUGCUCCCCAUUGCUCACCUUACUGCCUGAGCUCCACCUCCUGUCAGAUCAGCAGUGGCAUUAAAUUCUCAUAGCAGCACAAACCCUGUCAUGAACUGCACAUGCGAGGGAUCUAGGUUGUGCGCUCCUUAUGAGAAUCUAAUGCCUAAUGACCUGUCACCGUCUCCCAUCACCCCUAGAUGGGAGUGUCUAGUUGCAGGAAACAAGCUCAGGGCUUCCACUGAUUCUACAUUAUGGCUGUGGCUUGCCUUUUCACUUCUUGUGUCCUGUUUAAGAAAUAUCUGCUAUCCCAAGCAUCUGGCAUCUUUCUUGACAUAUGUAGCAGUUGCUUUUUGACAGCUUGCUUCUUCAGUGAAUGAAUAAAUUAAUAAAGAGAAAUGUGAUGUUCAGUGAUCCAUUUUGCAGAUAACACUAACAAAGUUGACCUUAGAAUUGGAGUGCCUGGGUUAGAACCCUGCUGGUACCACCUGCUUACUGCAUGCUUCUGAUGUGAGUUCAGGAGAAGACACUGGCAAGGACAGCAAAGAACAGGAGAACACUCUAGCUUCCCUGAUAGCAUUCAAGGUGCUGUCCAAAGCUGAAAAAGUUUUGGAAGCCCUCCUAAGCAGGUGCCAGACCCUUUUUUGGCCAGAGACAGGAUCUUACGCUGUUGCCCAGGCUGGAGUGCAAUAGUGUCAUCAUGGCUCACUGUAGCCUGGAACUGCUGGGCUCAAGGGAUCCUCCCAGCUCAGCCUCCCAAGUAGCUAGGAGUAAAGGUACAUGCCAUCAUGCCUAGCUUUUUUUUUUUUUAAUUUUUGGAGAGAUAAGUUCCCAUCAUGUUGCCCAGGCUGGUCUCUAACUCUUGGACUCAAGUGGUCCUCCCACAUCAGCCUCUCAAAGUGCUGAGAUUGCAGGUGUUAGCCACUGCACUUGGCCUGGCCCCAGUAUUCUUUGGGAUCUGGAGUUUGCUGUUGAAUGAGAAGGCAAGAUGAAAUUCCAUGUAGUCAGACUCCUACGCUGCUGUUCUAAGCAGGGUUGGGCCUGAUUAGUAGGUUAUAGAUGAUGUUUUUCUGUGGUGCUAUCUGGACCUAGUGCUCUUUGGCAUCUGGGAAGGUAUGGCCUUUAAAAAGCAAACUGCCAUGAGAACUGCUCUACCCCAAAUUUUGGUUCACAGCCUUCAUUUGAUUAUGUAUUGGGGCAAAAAUAGUUUAGCCAUGUGAACCUGUUUGUAAACUGGUGAGUUUCUAUUGCUAUUUCAUAGCUAAAGUUUUGAGGUAAAUGCUAUUGGAUCUUUGUGUCUGUGUGUGUAUACAUAUUUAGAUGUGUUUAUGUGUAUGUACAUUUAUUAUAUGUUGUGUCUACCAACUUUGCUUAUAAGCAAAAGAAUGCUUGUAAAUUAAGUAAAUAAGUUCAAGAAUUUUUUAAAUUCACUUGAUUAAGUAAAUUGUUAAUUUUAAAAACUAGCUUUAAAAUUAUUGGUAAGGUAAAAAUAGAAAUGUCUUUGGAAUUGCCAGCAUACCUUUUUGUCUGGGUUUUAUAUUUGUCUCUGCUAGAUAUUUUGGGGUGUCGGGGUUUAGCAUAAAAGGUUAUAAAACAAUAUACCCAGCCAAAACUAAAUAGUCUUUGUUUGUGUGACUUUUUUCAAUAAGUAAGACUAAUUCAAUGUUAGUUUAAUGAAAAUAGCUGAAUUUUCUGAAUUAUUGACACAAUACCCAUGUAUUUAACUUUAAAAGUGUUCUUACUUAGGUGAACAUCUGAUCUUCGCAGGCUAUAAAAAAGGUUAACAAGGAAAUAACUUGAAAUGAUGAUUAGCUUUGUCUAAUAUUUCAGUUUUCAGAAGUAAUCUAGAUAAAUCGUUUGAAAAAAUGAAAGAAUCAUGUACAUGUAAAUGGGAUAAAUGCUUGUAGCUGCACUUUUUAAUGUAAUUUGAAAUCUUGAAGUUAUUUAGGAUUGAAUAAUAGAUGCUUUUUGGCCAUCUGGGUCACUUCCAAUUAAGAAAGGAUUAUGGGGCCGGAUGUGGUGGCUCAGGCCUGUAAUCUCAGCACUUUGGGAGGCCAAGGCAGGCAGAUCACCUGAGAUCCGGAGUUCAAGACCAGCCUGGCCAACAUGGUGAAACCCCAUCUCUGCUAAAAAUACAAAAAUUAGCUGGGCACGGUGGCAGGCACCUGUAAUCCCAGUUUCUUGGAAGGCUGAGGCAGGAAAAUCACUUGAACCCAGGAGGCGGAGGUUGCAGUGAGCCAAGACCAUGCCAUUGCAUUCCAGCCUGAGUGACAAGAGCAAAACUCCGUCAAAAAAAAA
rnacentral:lncRNA from 1 species